CACCAUUCAAGCCCUUACCCACAAUGGGUAGGCAUCGGCUGAGCUCAGUCUACCAAUCCAAAUGCCCCUCUCUUCCAGAAAUGCCCUCCUAGGCACACUCAGAAAUAAUGCCUUACUGUCAUGGUACUGACUGCUUCAUGCUGAUGCAUUUCCUGGGUUGGGAUUCAGCCUCGAAAACAACCUGCCUUCAUGGAACUGGAGCCUUGUGUAACUAGCUACAAAGCCAAUGCCGUGGGAGUGAGUGAGCAAGUGACUGAUUUGAAUGGCUUGGAACACUAGUGAGCAUGGUUGAUACUAGAUCAUUUGACAAAUUAGCAAACAGAGGCAUACAAAGGUUAAAUAAUUUGUUUACAGUAACUUAGCUUGGAGGAAGCAAAGCAGAAAGUUAAACCUAAGCCAUCUGGUAUCAAAACCUGCACUCCCGGCCACCGCCAUAUUCCGUCAUCAUCAGGUACCUGAGGCAAAGGAAGCUUGUACUGGAGGCAGUAUCAUUCUCAGGAGUUUGGCUCAGUGCUUAGCUGUGGAUCUCUGCUUCUGCUCCCAUCAGCUACUGGAUGAAGACUCUAGGAUGGCAUAUAAGGCUGCCCCUGCUGUCUGCAUCCACAGGGCCCCAUCUCCAGGAAAUUCCCUAGAGCAGAGUGAACAGUGCUCCCUCCCCAGGCAUGGAAAGAGGCCUGUCCUUGAAGACAUGAUGAUGGGCUGUAGCUGCUGUGCCAUCCGUCCCUGAACUCCUGCACUGAAACCUUUCUCCCAAGGGUCACUUCUUGCCCCUGAGGUCACCACUAUCCACAAGAAGUCACCAAGAGGAGCUGGAGAGAUGAAUUUGUGAUUAAGAGUACUUGCUGCUCUUGCAGAGGACCCAGGUUUGGUUCCUAGCACCCAUGUAGUACCUUAUAACUAUCUGUAACUCUGUUCCCAGGAGGUCCAACAUCCUCUUCUAGAUUCCGUGAGCACUUCAUGAGUGUGGUACACAUACAUACAAGCAAGCAAAACACUCAUACACAAAUAAAUACACAUACAUCUACAUACCCAUAAAAAAAAUUUUUAAGAUAAAGAAGUCACUCUCCCCUCCACCUGUCAAGGCCACAGGUCAGUCUCUAGUCUUAACCCAACUCUACUCCUUCCUCUUUCACUUUUCCCUCAGCCCUGACCCUCCCCCACCCUCUGCAUUGACUCUUCUCUUUUGUUUCCUCCCUCCACACUCCUUUGUGGCCAUCAGGACACAUAUAGCACACCUCCAUAAACUGAGUAGUAUAUAACCAAAACGAAUUUAUUUCUCAUUUUAGACUCUAUUUUUUAUGCAUUCCAUUGUUAUUGAUUUGGUUUUUGUCCUGGGGUGUCAGAAGCCAGCCUUGGCGACCCCCCAUGCCUAGAUAGGCUGGUAUCCCACUCCCUUAUCACAGGAGAUUCCGGAUACCUGCCUGAGAAGCAACUAACACCUAUCCCUCCCCCCAUUUCCUUAGUUAGUGCUUGAGAUAAACACGGGAGAUUCCAGAUACCUGCCUGAGAACAAUUAACUCAUCCCUCUCCCCACCUCCUUUUUCUCUGCUUCCUCCUUUCUCUAUAAAAAACCCUUAUAAUAAUCAAUAAAG
ensembl:lncRNA